rnacentral:rRNA from 1 species
UACGAAGGGGGCGAGCGUUGUUCGGAAUUACUGGGCGUAAAGGGCGCGCAGGCGGCUCUGAAAGUCAGAUGUGAAAGCCCCGGGCUUAACCUGGGAAUUGCAUUUGAUACUCUGGAGCUUGAGUACGGGAGAGGAGAGUGGAAUUCCCAGUGUAGAGGUGAAAUUCGUAGAUAUUGGGAAGAACACCGGUGGCGAAGGCGGCUCUCUGGACCGUAACUGACGCUGAGGCGCGAAAGCGUGGGGAGCAAACGGG